AUGCCUCACUGCUGCUCUGUGACGUCCCAAAAGUUUUCAAGACUCUUCUGUUGUGAUUUUCAGUUCUUUGCUCCAGCAGGAUUUGCAUCAGUCAAAGAGCAGCCAAGGUCCCCCCAUCCUGACCAUCCCCACGAAAUCUGCCUUUUACAAAUCUGCCUUUCAGCUGGAAAAUACCUGCUCUGGGGAGGCUUCCCUGCCUUGUCCUCCAUUCUCUGCAUCCAUUCCAGAAGUGCCCUGAUCCAGGCAGGAGGGCUCAGCACCGGUGCUCAGCACCCUGAGCCAGGCAGGAAUGCCCAGGAAGGCUGGAAGUGUCUGCAGGAUGGGAUGAGCUGGAUGCAGACCUUGGCCCUCAGCACCAACCACAGGCAGCCUUUCAGCCCAGAUGGAGAGCGCCAUACGGAGUUUUGUUUCCUUCCCAAAACACACCACACGUUCCCUGCCUGUCUAACAAGGUGCGUGUGCCAGGCUGUGUGACACGGUGAGAGGCACAACCAGGCGUCAUCCUCAUCCCUGAGCAGGGAGUCAGGGGGACACAGGGGAGCUCUGUCACCCCACAUCCACCACUGGGCCACCCACUCUUUGUCACAGGGCAGCACUGAGGAGGUUUGGGAGCCGAGGGCAGGUGUGGGACACAGCCAGGUUGGAGAUUCUUGCUUCCACCUGGGGCUUGCUACCUUUUCUUUACCCUGUAAAAGCAGGGUUGCCCCUUCCAGGGCUGCUGCUGUGCAGGAGACUGAGGAUGGGGAGGACUUUUACAAGGGUGUGCAGUGCUAGGGUGGGUGGGAAUGGCUUUGAGGGUAUGUUUAGAUUAAAUAUUAGGAAGAAAUUAUUUUCUGUGACUGCUCUGAAAGCUGUGGGUGAGGGGGUGGCUGCGGGGAUGUCCGGGCAUCGGGAUGAAGCGGUGCCAGCACAGGGAUAGAGGGAUGAGCCAUCAGCUGGGAUUUCUCCAGCGCUUAAAAGCCUCCUUCACAUUCUGUGUCAUGAAACACAGCCGUGAUUUUUGCUUUACAAGUGUGAUUGCUUAUAACAGCAUGAAAUUACAGCCAGAGCUGGUCAGCCUGGCAGCAGAUAAGCGGAGCUGGGAGUGUGGCACUGUGCUG
rnacentral:lncRNA from 1 species